rnacentral:rRNA from 1 species
CGUGUAGGCGGAUCGACAAGUCAUAUGUGAAACCCAGCGGCUCAACCACUGGCUUGCAUCUGAAACUGUCGAUCUUGAGUACGGAAGAGGAAAGUGGAAUUCCUGGUGUAGCGGUGAAAUGCGUAGAUAUCAGGAGGAACACCGGUGGCGAAGGCGGCUUUCUGGUCCGAUACUGACGCUGAGGCGCGAAGGCCGGGGGAGCAAACAGGAUUAGAUACCCUGGUAGUCC